rnacentral:rRNA from 1 species
UAACGCGUGAGAACAUGCCUUUAGAUUGGGGACAACAGUUGGAAACGACUGCUAAUACCGAAUGUGCCUUAGGGUGAAAGAUUUAUUGUCUAGAGAUUGGCUCGCGUCAGAUUAGCUAGUUGGAGUGGUAACGGCACACCAAGGCGACGAUCUGUACUUGGUCUGAGAGGAUGACCAGGCACACUGGAACUGAGACACGGUCCAGACUCCUACGGGAGGCAGCAGUGGGGAAUUUUCCGCAAUGGGCGAAAGCCUGACGGAGCAAUACCGCGUGAGGGAGGACGGCUUUUGGGUUGUAAACCUCUUUUAUCAGGGAAGAAUCGAUGACGGUACCUGAUGAAUCAGCAUCGGCUAACUCCGUGCCAGCAGCCGCGGUAAUACGGAGGAUGCAAGCGUUAUCCGGAAUUAUUGGGCGUAAAGCGUCCGUAGGUGGUUUAUCAAGUCUGCUGUCAAAGCGUGCGGCUUAACCGCAUAAGGGCAGUGGAAACUGAUGAACUAGAGUGCGAUAGGGGUAACAGGAAUUCCCAGUGUAGCGGUGAAAUGCGUAGAUAUUGGGAAGAACACCAGCGGCGAAAGCGUGUUACUGGGUCUGCACUGACACUGAGGGACGAAAGCUAGGGGAGCGAAAGGGAUUAGAUACCCCUGUAGUCCUAGCCGUAAACGAUGACAACUAGGCGUGGUUCGUAUCGACCCGAGCCGUGCCGUAGCCAACGCGUUAAGUUGUCCGCCUGGGGAGUACGCACGCAAGUGUGAAACUCAAAGGAAUUGACGGGGGCCCGCACAAGCGGUGGAGUAUGUGGUUUAAUUCGAUGCAACGCGAAGAACCUUACCAAGGCUUGACAUCCUCGGAACCCUGAUGAAAGUUAGGGGUGCCUUCGGGAGCCGAGAGACAGGUGGUGCAUGGCUGUCGUCAGCUCGUGUCGUGAGAUGUUGGGUUAAGUCCCGCAACGAGCGCAACCCACGUUUUUAGUUGCCAGCAUUCAGUUGGGCACUCUAGAGAGACUGCCGGUGACAAACCGGAGGAAGGUGUGGAUGACGUCAAGUCAGCAUGCCCCAUACGCCUUGGGCUACACACGUACUACAAUGCGUCGGACAAAGAGCAGCCAGCCAGCGAUGGUGAGCCAAUCUCAUAAACCGACGCUCAGUUCAGAUUGCAGGCUGCAACUCGCCUGCAUGAAGGCGGAAUCGCUAGUAAUCGCAGGUCAGCAUACUGCGGUGAAUACGUUCCCGGGCCUUGUACACACCGCCCGUCACACCAUGGGAGUUGGUCACGCCCGA